GGAGUGAAGAGAACUGUUUCACAUGUUCCAUACCCAUGGUUACCAAACAUCUGACUUUUGUGUCACAAAAAUACAGAUUCCCUUCCAAUUUCACAUCCCUCCCUUCUUUGCAGAUUAAUACAGUGAACCCAAAAGUUGUUGUUUUUUUAAUGCAAAGCUGGGAGCUAGAAAUAAGAAUGGAAUGAAAUAUUAGCCAAGGGUAGGGGAUUGGGAUUUGAAUUAUGCAACUUUCUCCAACAGGAAGGUAACAAGGUAUACAAUGCAGAGUAAACAAGGUGGUCCCUUUUAGCUUAAAAUGGCAGAAUGCUGUCUCUUAGGGUGAUCUUCCCAGAGACCUGCAAGUGACAGGGCCCUUUGACCCUAACAUAAGCUGGCAUGAGCAUUGUAGUUUUUGACAUGACAGUGAGUAUUCCUGUUAACAUAGUACUGCUGCAAUCACACCAAAGAAUGUGAUUUGAAAGAGUGUAUGUGCAAUGAUGUCUAAUGAUGCUAACUUGUGAUUUUUCAGCUGCGAUGUUUUUUUUUUUGGGGGGGUCUAACUUAGGAAGCCAAUAUUAAUUCGCAAAUAAAAGCAGUUUGCUAAGAAUUGGCUGGACAUAAUAAAAGUUCCCCACCUUUACAGACUAAUGUGACAAAACCUAUAACAAAGGGAAGAAACAAGCCACAAUGUUAUUUGGGAAUUGUGGUGCAAGGCUUUAAGCUUAUUGUGCAAAGGCUGGCCAUGAAUUUCUGUCACCCUCAAGUUUUUUUACAAGGGUCUUACUAGCUCUUCAUUUCCUCUUGGGAGAGGCAACUAAUACAGAGAAGGUGGGAUAUAUAAUCACUUCCACAUUAUAUCCAAGCCAAGCCAUUCAUUUAACUAUAAACUUUUGAAAUCUCAAUUUGGAUCCUUACUUGGCAACAUUCCAAAAGGCACAUGGCCCAGUUCUUCAAUCUGUUAAAAUCAUUUUGAAUCCUGAUUCUGCCCUCUGUGGCAUUAGCUACCCCUCCCAGUUUGGUGUCAUCUGCAAAUUUGAUAAGCUAUUUAUAAAGUUGUUUAUAAAGACAUUGAACAACAACAGGCCCAGGAUGGAACCCUGCGGCACCCCACUUGUCACUUUCCCCCAGGAUGACGAGGAACCAUUGAUGAGUACUCUUUGGGUUCAGUCAGUCAACCUGCUACAAAUCCACCUAACCGUUACCUUGUUCAACCUACAUUUUACUAGCUUCCUCGCAAGAAUAUCACUUUCUCAAACGCCUUACUAAAAUCGAGAUACACUAUGCCCACAGCAUUCCCUUGAUCCACCAAGUUUGCAACUCCAUCAAAAAAAAGCAAUGUGAUUGGUUUGGAAUGACUUAUUUUUGAGAAGCCCAUGCUGGGUCUUAGCAAUCACAGCAUCCUUUUCUUAAGUGCUCAUAGACCAACUGUUGAAUUAUAUGUUCUAGGACCUUUCCUACACAGUCUUCCUAGGCAGCUUCACAGAAAGGGUUAUAACCAUUCCACUCCACAAUGUUCUUCAUAGCUGCCAUGUUAUUGGCCUAUUCCUUCAAUAAAGUUGUGGCCAGUUUAAUACAAGCUAUCAGUGUUCUUUUUAUUUCUUCUACUUGCAAACAUUAAGAGUGUGGUUUCUGCUUAUAAGCUGUUAUUAGUCUAUUGAUCAGCAAAUGUUUUUCUAACACUCUGGAGAGAAAUAAGAACAUUUUAAUGGUAUAAUAGAUCACAGGAUCUCAUACUGUGGAAUGCACCUCUUCCCCGUCCCAGGGAGGGGGAAAAGCAUUUUGGGCAGUGGAAGUGCAAAGUCUUUAAUAGAAUACUGGGCAUCACAGCAUUAACAUUUGUUUUGAUCACUUAUGGCUGCAGAGAGAUGUAACUAGUACAGCAAGAAAUUGAAACUUUUCUCUCUCAUCACACCCUUAUGCAACUUAUGAGGGUGGAUAUUCAGAAUUCCUUUUGAAACAUUUGGGAAGACGUAUUGGAAUAAUUCUCUGCUAUUCAUUUACCUAUAUGUUCCAGGAGUGAUAUUUUGAAGCCACUGGUACAGUUGUUGUGUUAGUGUAUUUCAGAUGGAAUUUUUGAAUUUUUAUGGCUUUAUUUUGAUGCCUUGUAAUGGACCCUCCUAGAGGGUUUUUUCUGGUAGAUGACUUGAUGCUCUUUUGUCUUCUGGUUUCUUAUGUUUUGGACACAAAGGGAAGCAGUGGAGGCCAAAUCUGGCAGGUGGUGAGCAGUAACUGCUAUUGCAGGUAACAUUUAGGAUUAUUGCUUUAAGUCAAUUUAUUAUUCCAGCAAAUGCUGGAAAUGUUUGCUAGGAUAAGGCCCAGAUAUGAAUUUAUGGGACUUAUAAAUGCUAACUUUAAAGAAAAGGAGGACAUUAAGAAACCCCUGUUUUUUCCUGCUAGUAUUAAAAACCCCUUCCACACCAUAGCUUCUAUAGCGGACCUAAUUAAGUGAGGUUUGAAAAAGAAAUUAGCAGGGGACUCUUUUCAUGAGAUAGACAUUAGCUAACAUCUAGAGCUCAAGUUGCUGCCAGGCAUACAGAAAUUGGGGCAGGAGCCAGUGAAAUUGGCAUCUCUCUCUCUCAUCUAUCUAUCUCUCUAUCCCACCCCUGCUCCAUCGGUGGAGUGAUCAAAUAUGUUGUUUUCUGCAGACUGUGGAGAUUAUGGAAGGAAAGAGGGGUAAUUCUAAGGUACUCAGUUCUUAAGCAGCUUGGAGCUUUAUGAGUUACAAGUAUACAGUUUUGCCUAGAAUGCUAUAGGAAUUUAGGCUAGUCCGCAGGAGCCAACUCCUAGAGGCCAAGGGGUAUUCAGUCCCCCCCCCCCCCCAUUGAUGGUGGGUAUUGCCAUUCAAAUGGUGUCCAUGCGUUGCAUCAUGUGAUUGAUUAUGCAGGGCAGGGCUUACUUACCCCCCCCAUAUUUUUUUCCAAGUUGACACCCCUGGACCAGUCAUUGGGGUGCUACUAUAAUGAUAACUGAUUGUUGUUGUUUCGUCGUUUAGUCGUGUCCGACUCUUCGUGACCCCAUGGACCAGAGCACGCCAGACACUCCUGUCUUUGAUAACUGAUUACAGAACCAUUAAAAAGUGAGCAACUGGGCAAUAGCUGUGAGACCCUGGACUGCAUGGGAAGCUUUGUGCGGAACAGAUCUCGAUUUGUUAAAGGCAGGGAUGAUGGGUCCUAGAAAGCAAAACUGGAAUUAGUGAAAAGUAGCCUCUGCAAGAUUGGUGAAACUACUGACCUGCCAGCCUUCAGAACCUCCUAGAUGCUUGCUGAAGAACAUGUGUACAGUGUGGUCCCCCCCUUUUUUACAUACAUAAAUUAGUAAAGGGGAAAUCAUAGAAUUGUAGAUUUGGAAGGGACCAUGAGGGUCAUCUAGUCCAACCCCCUGCAAUCCUUUUGCCCAAUGUGGGGUUCGAACCCACAACCCAGAGAUUAGAAGUCUCAUGUUCUACCAACUGAGCUAUGCGAGGUGUUACGCAAUGAUAACAUUUCAUAAUUAUAACCUUGAGGACUGCUGCUCCCCAUCUGAACUGAUCCAAAUUUGGCUAUUAUCAUGAGGCUACUCUUCAUGUGCUUCCUGCAGAGGAUGGCAACAUGAGAAAGGGCCUUUUCUGCAGUGGCUCCACAAUUAAAGAAUGCUCUCCCUGGGGAGGUUUGUCUGAAGCCUUUAUUAUACAUCUUUAGGUGCCAUGCAAAAAUAUUCCUCUUCUCUCAGGCCUUUGGCUAAUUAAACAAUCUAUGGCCUUUUAAAUUGUGUCCAUGUGUCCAUGUGUGCUGUUUUUGUUUGUUACUAGGCUAUGUAUGUUUGUGUUUUUAUAUUUUUGUCUCCUAUAAUUGACAUGUUGUGACAGCUUGUCUAUCAAAAGUAUCCCAACAUUUGUGCAUCUGAACUUAUUAGUCUUCUGAAUUGAAAUGUUUCUGAUCUUUCUGGUGCUAAGCUGUCAAUACAGGCAGCCCCCCAUGUGCGUUCAAUAUGUGCACAACCGUGUAUAUGCGCAUCACACCAAACCCAGAUGUGAACAAGAACGUCAUAAAGACGUCACUGAACUAAAAGGGGGUGGGGGGCAGAAUGAGGGUGGAGUGGAUUGGGGUGUUUGCAGGCUAUUUCAAUGGGUUUUAAUUAUACAGUAUGUGAUUUCACUGACACACACAAGCCUUGGAACAUAACCCCCGCAUAAAUGGGGGGCUCCCUGUAGAUCAACAGAUAUCAUUAAUUUGAUUUUUAGAUAGCUGUAUAUAUUUAAUUACAUGUAGCAUUUUCCUCAUCAAUAUAGUCUAACAGCAUUGGGAAAUGAAAUAUUUUCAAUAAAAAAUUGUUAUAUAUUU